rnacentral:rRNA from 1 species
GAUGAACGCUGGCGGCGUGCCUAAUACAUGCAAGUCGAACGCUGAAGGAGGAGCUUGCUCUUCUGGAUGAGUUGCGAACGGGUGAGUAACGAGUAGGUAACCUGCCUGGUAGCGGGGGAUAACUAUUGGAAACGAUAGCUAAUACCGCAUGACAACAGUUAUUGCAUGAUAACUGUUUAAAAGGGGCAACUGCUCCACUACCAGAUGGACCUGCGUUGUAUUAGCUAGUUGGUGAGGUAACGGCUCACCAAGGCGACGAUACAUAGCCGACCUGAGAGGGUGAUCGGCCACACUGGGACUGAGACACGGCCCAGACUCCUUCGGGAGGCAGCAGGAGGGGAUCUUCGGCAAUGGACGGAAGUCUGGCCGAACACCGCCGCGUGAGAGAAGAAGGUUUUCGGGUCGUAAAGGUCGGUUGUAAGGGGAGAACGAGUGUGAGAGUGGAAAGUUCACUCUGUGACGGUAUCUUACCAGAAAGGGACGGCUAACUACGUG